GAGGAUUACCUCCAAAAGAUGAUCUGCCCCAAGGAAGCCAUGGAGAGGGAGUUCCUUCCCACAGUCCUGCUGUGUGUGGGGCCAGAUUUUGACAGGCCAUGAGCUGAAGCUACAAGAACCCUGGUGUGCCCUGGUGUUGAAGAACUCUGACAAAGCUAGGUCCUAGCACCAACCCAGACAUAAAAGGACUGUAGCAAUUGAUGGAUGGGAAGAGGGAUGGGCUUGGACUGUGACCCAUCAAUCAAGUACUUCCUGGAGCUGUCUGACGAGCUGGAUUGACACCGUUAAGGGUGGAAGAGAGCAUGCUGCAUUGGGAAAGAAGGAGCCAUUUAGGCUUGAGCACAAGAGG